rnacentral:rRNA from 1 species
CGGGAUGUUCAUAACCCUUUGUUGUCCGACUCUGUUGCCUCCGGGGCGACCCUGCCUUCGGGCGGGGGCUCCGGGUGGACACUUCAAACUCUUGCGUAACUUUGCAGUCUGAGUAAACUUAAUUAAUAAAUUAAAACUUUUAACAACGGAUCUCUUGGUUCUGGCAUCGAUGAAGAACGCAGCGAAAUGCGAUAAGUAAUGUGAAUUGCAGAAUUCAGUGAAUCAUCGAAUCUUUGAACGCACAUUGCGCCCCCUGGUAUUCCGGGGGGCAUGCCUGUUCGAGCGUCAUUUCACCACUCAAGCCUCGCUUGGUAUUGGGCAUCGCGGUCCGCCGCGUGCCUCAAAUCGACCGGCUGGGUCUUCUGUCCCCUAAGCGUUGUGGAAACUAUUCGCUAAAGGGUGUUCGGGAGGCUACGCCGUAAAACAACCCCAUUUCUAAGGUUGACCUCGGAUCAGGUAGGGAUACCCGCUGAACUUAAGCAUAUCAAUA